UAAACUGCUUUAACAAGAUGGGGGGCUUUACAGGGGAGUCUCCCAACCUCCAAUUUUCAUUCAUCACAAUUGGAAGUUCACGGCUAUUGAGAGAAAGAGAUAACUGUGGUACCGAUCCAACGCUAGUUUAGGGUCUUUAUGCAGCUGGAAGGUGAACAUCUGGCCAAUUUUGAGGUCCAAAGCACCCUGGAGCACCUUAACCCUAACGCAGAUGUUCAUUAAGGGUCUUUCUAUACUUUUCUCGGUUCAGCACACCCAAGAGGUUGCAGUAAGACGAGAGGCAGAUUUUGGAAUUAACCGUUACUUGCUUCGGUGCUGUUUUGGUACCAGUAGUGAAUUCUGAAAGUUGGUAUUGAUACCAAAGUCAAAACUGUGGUAGCAAUCCAACGCUAGCUUGGGGUCUUUAACCUGCUGGAAGGUGAACAUCUGGCCAAUUUUGAGGUCCAGAGCGUCCAAGAGCACCUUAACCCUAACCUUGACGCAGAUGUUCAUUAAGGGGUCUCUCUGUACUUUUCUCUGUUCAGCACACCCAAGAGGCGGAUUUUGGAAUUAACUGUUAUUUGCAGUAUUGAAUUCUAAAAGCUGGUAUUGAUACCAAAGUCAAAGCUGUGGUACUGAUCCAACGCUAGCUUGAGGUCUUUAUCCAGCUGGAAGGUGAACGUCAAGCCCAUUUUGAGGUCCAGGGUACCUCAGAACAGCUGUUCAGAAGGGCUCUCUAUGUACUUUGCUCCGUUCAGUACAACAGGGAAGCUGGAGUAAGAUGGUGGAGGAUUUUGGAGUUAUCUGUUAUUCGCUUCAGAACAGUUUUGGUACCAGUACUAAGGUCUGAAAGCUGUAACAGAUACUGAAUUGAAAAUUUUAGAAGUGAUCCAACGCUAGCUUAGGGUCUUUAACCUGCUGGAAGGUGAACAUCUGGACAAUUUUGAGGUCCAGAGCGCCCAGGAGCACCUUAAUCCCUAACCCUGACGCAGAUGUUCUCUCUC